AAUAUGUUGUGUAUAUUCCUCAAAAAAAUUGUGAAAGAGAUAAAUGUUCUUUUUUGCUUGUUGGAGCAGAGCACGUAUAAAAUGAUAUGGCUUAAUAGGUACGUAACAAGCUGUAUAAAAUAAAUCAAGCAGCGCUGAAAAAGAUCCAGUUGAAUAUUCAACAAUUCUCUCUAGAGAUAAAUUAAUAUCGAAAGAUUGAAUGCCUCUCGUUCUCUUUGGACGCAUUUCAGUCUUUCCGAUAAAAUUAUACGGCAGAAACAGUGACUAUCGAUAAAGAAGGUUGCCAGCAGCCGGAUACUGAUCGACCAGUUUCACUUGCCUAGUCACGUACGUGCCUGUUCUACUGCAAGCCGUCUGGCGGCGACUGAAUGAUCGCCUUGCAUCACUUCAAAAAAUUAAAUAUCUAAUCCACGCGAUAGCGCUUUCUUUCAGCAUGAAAGAGAAAAUCUUUUCUAAAGUAUGAUUAAUGUAAAUUAUAUAUUAAUAAUUAUUAGUAUAUGUAAAUUAUUACAACAGCAGCAAAUUGUCAGAUAAAAAAAAUAUUGCAGAUCGGCUAUACGAGAAGUCUUAAGCUCAUAAAUGCUUACGGCGCGGUUGUAGAAAGGAAAUUCUUAAUCUUGGCGAGCAGCACGAACGAACGGAGGAGAAAAAGGAAAUCGAUGAAAGUCCUCGUGCGGAGAAACCGCCCUUCAACUAAACAAUGGACCAGCGCCAACUUCGACUACAUGAAAUGCCGAGGAUGAGGCUGUCUUGAGAAUUCUUUGGAGAUGUGUCCAGAGAGGAAGAAAACUAGUUCGCUGAGUAAAACGGCAAGUCUGGAUUUAAUCACCAAUCGUCGCAUCAUCGACUGCAGUAACUGCUACCGUGUUCUUUACAAAUUAGUUCUUUAGGUUAUUGGUUCGAUGUGCGUACACGAGUGUCCAUUAAUUGGACGAUUUUUAUACAGAAUGCUGUGAAAAUCGUAGUCAAAUAUAAAGCGAUUUUUCACGACAAUAAAUUAAAGUUUUGAAAUAAAAUGUUUUUAUAUGACAUUUUGUUUUCCAGAAAAUCCGCUUUCAAAACUGAAAAAUUUGCUCCAAUUAUAAAUAAAACUCUGGAUACUUUUUUAACGUAUUUUUGCAGCGCUAAUUUCUGCGUGGCAAUGAUCGAAGGCGCAUUUAAAUUCAACUUUACUUUUAGAUUGCAAGUUAAAAUUUUUUUAAAUAACUUGCACAAAACACAGUUGGUGCAACUUUUUGCAUAUUUAAUGUAAUUCUUGGGAAAAACUGCGAGCGCAUCUAAUCAGUAUUGUAAAUUGCGCAAAGUAUAACGUUAUGACUC